UCCCUGGUGGUUUAGUGGUUAGGAUUUGGCGCUCUCAACGCCGCAGCCCGGGUCCGAUUCCCGGUCAGGGAA